UACGUAGGGGGCUAGCGUUAUCCGGAAUUAUUGGGCGUAAAGGGCGCGUAGGCGGCAAAUCAAGUCUGAUGUGAAAGUGCGGGGCUUAACUCCGUAAAGCAUUGGAAACUGGUUAGCUUGAGUACAGGAGAGGAAAGUGGAAUUCCUAGUGUAGCGGUGAAAUGCGUAGAUAUUAGGAGGAACACCAGUAGCGAAGGCGGCUCUCUGGACUGUAACUGACGCUGAGGCACGAAAGCGUGGGGAGCAAACAGGAUUAGAUACCCGCGUAGU
rnacentral:rRNA from 1 species